rnacentral:rRNA from 1 species
GGAUGAACGCUAGCUACAGGCUUAACACAUGCAAGUCAGGGGCAGCAUGUGGUUGCUUGCAACCAAUGAUGGCGACCGGCGCACGGGUGAGUGACGCGUAUCCAACCUCCCCUUAGUAGAGGAUAGCCCGGCGAAAGUCGGAUUAAUACUCUAUGUUCUUCAAUGCGGACAUCUAAGUUGAAGCAAAGAUUUAUCGCUAAGGGAUGGGGAUGCGUCUGAUUAGGUUGCAGGCGGGGUAACGGCCCACCUGGCCUACGAUCAGUAGGGGUUCUGAGAGGAAGGUCCCCCACACUGGUACUGAGACACGGACCAGACUCCUACGGGAGGCAGCAGUGAGGAAUAUUGGUCAAUGGGCGCGAGCCUGAACCAGCCAAGUAGCGUGCAGGAACCGGCCGCCCUAUGGGUUGUAAACUGCUUUUAUCAGGGAAUAAAGUGAGGCACGCGUGCCUUUUUGUAUGUACCUGAUGAAUAAGGACCGGCUAAUUCCGUGCCAGCAGCUGC